rnacentral:rRNA from 1 species
UACGUAGGGUGCAAGCGUUGUCCGGAAUUAUUGGGCGUAAAGCGCACGUAGGCGGCUUAGCAAGUCGGAUGUGAAAGCCCUCGGCUCAACCAAGGAAGUGCAUCCGAAACUGCUGAGCUUGAGUACUUAAGAGGAUCGCGGAAUUCCCGGUGUAGAGGUGAAAUGCGCAGAUAUCAGGAGGAACACCGGUGGCGAAGGCGGGUCUCUGGGCCGAUACUGACGCUGAGGAGCGAAAGCGUGGGGAGCGAACAGG